UCUUAUCGAUAAGCGAAGAAAGUGGUUUCUUGAGAUGGAAUCCACUCCUGGAGAAGAUGCUGUGAA
rnacentral:pre_miRNA from 1 species